AUUGAACGCUGGCGGCAGGCCUAACACAUGCAAGUCGAACGAGUGGCGGACGGGUGAGUAAUGUCUGGGAAAAUGCCUGAUGGAGGGGGAUAACUACUGGAAACGGUAGAUAAUACCGCAUACCAUCGGAUGUGCCCAGAUGGGAUUAGCUUGUUGGUGGGGUAACGGCUCACCAAGGCGACGAUCCCUAGAUGGUCUGAGAGGAUGACCAGCCACACUGGAACUGAGACACGGUCCAGACUCCUACGGGAGGCAGCAGUGGGGAAUAUUGCACAAUGGGCGCAAGCCUGAUACAGCCAUGCCGCGUGUAUGAAGAAGGCCUUCGGGUUGUAAAGUACUUUUAGCUGGGAGGCGUUAUCCGCAGAAGAAGCACCGGCUAACUACGUGCCAGCAGCCGCGGUAAUUC
rnacentral:rRNA from 1 species